GAUGGAGAUAGUGAUCGGAUGGGAAGAUGGUGAAUAUGGCCGACUAGCUGUCCUUUCAAGUCCAAACCAUCCUGAAAAUAAAGGAAGAACAAUGAGUUAUAAGUAAUGAAAACAAGGACUAGAAAAUAAAGAUAGGAUGGAAUGGAUUGAUGAAGUGAAGAUAGAUGAUGUAUGGAUGGAUGGAAGAUGAUGUUGGAUAGAUGUUCAAUCUGUGGGUGCUGAUUGACUCU
rnacentral:lncRNA from 1 species